rnacentral:rRNA from 1 species
UAGUCGCACGAGUUCAGACUCGUGGCGAAUAGCUCAGUAACACGUGGCCAAACUACCCUUCGGAGCACAAUACCCUCGGGAAACUGAGGCUAAUAGUGCAUACCACAGUCCAGCUGGAAUGAGGACUGUGCCAAACGCUCCGGCGCCGAAGGAUGUGGCUGCGGCCGAUUAGGUAGACGGUGGGGUAACGGCCCACCGUGCCAAUAAUCGGUACGGGUCAUGAGAGUGAGAACCCGGAGACGGAAUCUGAGACAAGAUUCCGGGCCCUACGGGGCGCAGCAGGCGCGAAACCUUUACACUGCACGCCAGUGCGAUAAGGGAAUCCCAAGUGCGCAGGCAUAGAGCCUGCGCUUUUGUACACCGUAGGGAGGUGUACGAAUAAGGGCUGGGCAAGACCGGUGCCAGCCGCCGCGGUAAUACCGGCAGCCCGAGUGAUGGCCGAUCUUAUUGGGCCUAAAGCGUCCGUAGCUGGCCGCACAAGUCCAUCGGAAAAUCCACCCGCCCAACGGGUGGGCGUCCGGUGGAAACUGUGUGGCUUGGGACCGGAAGGCGCGACGGGUACGUCCGGGGUAGGAGUGAAAUCCCGUAAUCCUGGACGGACCGCCGAUGGCGAAAGCACGUCGCGAGGACGGAUCCGACAGUGAGGGACGAAAGCCAGGGUCUCGAACCGGAUUAGAUACCCGGGUAGUCCUGGCCGUAAACAAUGUCUGUUAGGUGUGGCUCCCACUACGAGUGGGUGCUGUGCCGUAGGGAAGCCGCUAAACAGACCGCCUGGGAAGUACGUCC